UACGUAGGGUGCAAGCGUUGUCCGGAAUUAUUGGGCGUAAAGGGCGCGUAGGCGGUCAGCACAAGUCAGUUGUGAAAUCUCCGGGCUUAACUCGGAAAGGUCAACUGAUACUGUGCGACUAGAGUGCAGAAGGGGCAACUGGAAUUCUCGGUGUAGCGGUGAAAUGCGUAGAUAUCGAGAGGAACACCUGCGGCGAAGGCGGGUUGCUGGGCUGACACUGACGCUGAUGCGCGAAAGCCAGGGGAGCAAACGGG
rnacentral:rRNA from 1 species